GUUUAAUCUGAGGGAUUUCAGAAAUAGUCUCGUCCACUUUGUCCCAGACCGUGGUAGAAGAAGGAUCGCGAAGUUGUGUAGUUUCCGUGGUGUAAUUGUUACCCUAGCUAGAUAUCGAAGUUUGUGCGGUAAAAGUUGUGCGUGUUGAACUGUUGUGUCAGAGUUCAAAGCCUAGCGCAAGCUACGGCUUUUUCAUUCAGAGCCAACCCAAAAAUACCGCACAAAGCGCAGACGAAAAGCUAGCCGCCGCACCACCCUCCGUCGCGCAUCCAGUCUACGCUCUGGAAGCAAAGUUUCCCGGCGGUUUGAGGCCGGAAGGGAGUCGCGAACGCCCUCAACGCACUCCAGGCGACUAUUCCGUUCAUCGUUCGCCCAGCCAGUAAGUUCACGGCACGAGAAAACCACCAAAACCUCGUGCGUGAACGUGAAACUCGGUUGUAGCUCAACGAGUCAUCGCCGGUGGCAGCCAUCGCCGUCGUCGUCGUCGUAGG